rnacentral:rRNA from 1 species
CCUACGGGAGGCAGCAGUGGGGGAUAUUGCACAAUGGGGGGAACCCUGAUGCAGCGACGCCGCGUGGGUGAAGAAGCGCCUAGGCGCGUAAAGCCCUGUCAGCAGGGAAGAAAAUGACGGUACCUGAAGAAGAAGCCCCGGCUAACUACGGGACAGCAGCCGCGGUAAUACGUAGGGGGCAAGCGUUAUCCGGAUGUACUGGGUGGAAAGGGGGCGCAGACGGCGGUGCAAGCCAGGAGUGAAAGCCCGGGGCCCAACCCCGGGACUGCUCUUGAAACUGCGUGGCUGGAGUGCAGGAGGGGCAGGCGGAAUUCCUGGUGUAGCGGUGAAAUGCGUAGAUAUCAGGAGGAACACCGGUGGCGAAGGCGGGCUGCUGGACUGCAACUGACGUUGAGGCCCGAAAGCGUGGGGAGCAAACAGGAUUAGAUACCCCGGUAGUC